AUCGCUACAGAGUUAUUUCUUCAUUGAACACAUUGUGGCGGUGUUAUUCACAUUUUUGGAACUCGCACGUGCUCUACAGCUCUACAGACAGUGUAUUUACCACCGUCUGCAGUCUGUUGCUUCAGUAAACAGCACGACUCGUCAGUCCGGCCUGCACUGUGCUGUAUAGAUGGAUGCUUGACCUCACCUGGCAUAGCCUGUGCCAUUCCAGUGUGAUUCCUUGGGCAUAUGGCUGUGUCCCAUAGCAGGGUGUUGCACUGCAGCCACUGCAGGUUCCUGGCCAGCUCCCUGGCAAUGCAAUACAGUGAACUCCCUGCCUGUGUCCCCACAUGGAGCACGCCCAAGUGUCCCUGCUGGAUGAGGAGCAGCGGCCUGCACUGCCCCUUGCUGACAAGCUCACCAGCCGUGGAACAAGAAGUGCUGCAGAGAAUGGACAUCCUGGGGCUGGGAACAUUCUCUCCUCUCAUCCAGGCUCCCGGAUCACCCCAGGCACAGCCAUCUGCAGAGUGCCUUCCUGCAGUUCUACCUGAGGCUCGAGCAUAAUCCUUCAUACUGGCAAGGAGGGUAUGGAAGGGUGAACAGUGCAGGAGCAGUACCUCCAUGCUGCCCUUCUGUGUCCCCUCUCUGUGGCUGGUUCCCCGGCCUCUUUCCAGACCAUGUGAGUGACAUGGGCAGUGUAGCAAGAGUGAUGUGGAAAGAUACAAAUGCCUUGCAAAUAAAAAUGAAUUGCUUCUCUCCCCAUGAUUUAACUGUAUUGAAUCUGAUGCAUGUCCCUGUAUUAGGCUACUUGUCAUUUUCCCUCCAACCAUUCUCUUCGUGCAGAAGAGUGGCCUCCAUUUGUCACAACAGGAGAUAAUGUGCCCUGGAUGCCAGUGCUAACAAACAAAUAACCUGCUCUCAUACAGCACUGCCAGCUGGAAGUUUCAAGGCACUUUAUAACCAUUAACAGAUUUAGCUUCACAGCCCUAAUCAGGAAUUUUCAUCUCUAUUGUAAGGGAAGUAAAGUAGGGUCUAGGAGUGAAAUGAAGGGAAAGUAAGAGGAGAACCGAAGUGCUCUGGAUACUGAUUGCAGGUUUUCUUGGAGUGAGGGAGCUACUUCAGCAGAGGUGGGAUUGGGCUUCUCAACAGGAUUUAUUCCCAAACUUUUCUCACACUUCCACACUAAAUGAUUUUCUAUGCCUUUAUUUCCCCAACUGCAGAAGUGACUCACUUCUCCUUAUAAGAAAGUCUGGAAACAAAACAAAACAAAACAAAAAACUCACCUAGAUUUCAGAAGGUUAUCUCUAAAACAGAUAUGGACAUUCAAAUACCAAAAGUAGUAGCAUAACAGUGAUAUUGUAUGCACUAGGCAAUGGGAGGCAGAUGAGGGUGAAUGGAGAAGCGUAUGAAGUAGGGAGAAGCAGCACUGGGAGUCUUUUUCUCAGGUUAAUCACAUAUACACCAGGUUCGUGGUUUAAAAAUCUCAUAAUAGGAAUUGUCACUACAGAAUCCAAGAGGCACGACCAAUCAAAGCAAAGGAGAGAAAGGGCUAAUGAGCAGAGCUGUGUACCUCUGCUACACCUGCCUAAGCAGGUGAGCUGCAUUAAGUGGUGCUAAUGUACCCAUUAAGUAAUGCUAAUGAAGAUGCAGGCUCCUGCUGAG
ensembl:lncRNA